rnacentral:rRNA from 1 species
GGACUACUGGGGUUUCUAAUCCUGUUUGCUCCCCACGCUUUCGCGCCUCAGCGUCAGUUUCGGUCCAGAGAGCCGCCUUCGCCACCGGUGUUCUUCCCAAUAUCUACGAAUUUCACCUCUACACUGGGAAUUCCACUCUCCUCUCCCGAACUCCAGCACACCAGUCCCAAGCGCAAUUCCCAGGUUGAGCCCGGGGCUUUCACGCCUGACUUGGUGCGCCGCCUACGCGCCCUUUACGCCCAGUAAUUCCGAACAACGCUAGCCCCCUUCGUAUUACCGCGGCUGCUGGCAC